GACAGAGGAGCCAAGCGUUGUCCGGAUUGACUGGGCGUAAAGCGCACGCAGGCGGCUGCGCGCGUGGGGUGUGAAAUCUGGCCGCUUAACGGCCAGGCGCCAUCCCAUACGGCGCGACUGGAGUGAUGCAGAGGUCGAUGGAAUUGCCGGUGUAGUGGUGAAAUUCGUAGAGAUCAGGUGGAACACCGGAGGCGAAGGCGCCUGCCUGGCAAGGUAUUGACGCUGAGGUGCGAAAGUGCGGGGAGCAAACAGG
rnacentral:rRNA from 1 species